GGGUUGUGAGGUUAAGCGACUAAGCGUACACGGUGGAUGCCCUGGCAGUCAGAGGCGAUGAAGGACGUGCUAAUCUGCGAUAAGCGUCGGUAAGGUGAUAUGAACCGUUAUAACCGGCGAUUUCCGAAUGGGGAAACCCAGUGUGUUUCGACACACUAUCAUUAACUGAAUCCAUAGGUUAAUGAGGCGAACCGGGGGAACUGAAACAUCUAAGUACCCCGAGGAAAAGAAAUCAACCGAGAUUCCCCAGUAGCGGCGAGCGAACGGGGAGCAGCCCAGAGCCUGAAUCAGUGUGUGUGUUAGUGGAAGCGUCUGGAAAGGCGCGCGAUACAGGGUGACAGCCCCGUACACAAAAAUGCACAUACUGUGAGCUCGAUGAGUAGGGCGGGACACGUGGUAUCCUGUCUGAAUAUGGGGGGACCAUCCUCCAAGGCUAAAUACUCCUGACUGACCGAUAGUGAACCAGUACCGUGAGGGAAAGGCGAAAAGAACCCCGGCGAGGGGAGUGAAAAAGAACCUGAAACCGUGUACGUACAAGCAGUGGGAGCACGCUUCGGCGUGUGACUGCGUACCUUUUGUAUAAUGGGUCAGCGACUUAUAUUCUGUAGCAAGGUUAACCGAAUAGGGGAGCCGAAGGGAAACCGAGUCUUAACUGGGCGUUAAGUUGCAGGGUAUAGACCCGAAACCCGGUGAUCUAGCCAUGGGCAGGUUGAAGGUUGGGUAACACUAACUGGAGGACCGAACCGACUAAUGUUGAAAAAUUAGCGGAUGACUUGUGGCUGGGGGUGAAAGGCCAAUCAAACCGGGAGAUAGCUGGUUCUCCCCGAAAGCUAUUUAGGUAGCGCCUCGUGAAUUCAUCUCCGGGGGUAGAGCACUGUUUCGGCAAGGGGGUCAUCCCGACUUACCAACCCGAUGCAAACUGCGAAUACCGGAGAAUGUUAUCACGGGAGACACACGGCGGGUGCUAACGUCCGUCGUGAAGAGGGAAACAACCCAGACCGCCAGCUAAGGUCCCAAAGUCAUGGUUAAGUGGGAAACGAUGUGGGAAGGCCCAGACAGCCAGGAUGUUGGCUUAGAAGCAGCCAUCAUUUAAAGAAAGCGUAAUAGCUCACUGGUCGAGUCGGCCUGCGCGGAAGAUGUAACGGGGCUAAACCAUGCACCGAAGCUGCGGCAGCGACACUAUGUGUUGUUGGGUAGGGGAGCGUUCUGUAAGCCUGUGAAGGUGUACUGUGAGGUAUGCUGGAGGUAUCAGAAGUGCGAAUGCUGACAUAAGUAACGAUAAAGCGGGUGAAAAGCCCGCUCGCCGGAAGACCAAGGGUUCCUGUCCAACGUUAAUCGGGGCAGGGUGAGUCGACCCCUAAGGCGAGGCCGAAAGGCGUAGUCGAUGGGAAACAGGUUAAUAUUCCUGUACUUGGUGUUACUGCGAAGGGGGGACGGAGAAGGCUAUGUUGGCCGGGCGACGGUUGUCCCGGUUUAAGCGUGUAGGCUGGUUUUCCAGGCAAAUCCGGAAAAUCAAGGCUGAGGCGUGAUGACGAGGCACUACGGUGCUGAAGCAACAAAUGCCCUGCUUCCAGGAAAAGCCUCUAAGCAUCAGGUAACAUUAAAUCGUACCCCAAACCGACACAGGUGGUCAGGUAGAGAAUACCAAGGCGCUUGAGAGAACUCGGGUGAAGGAACUAGGCAAAAUGGUGCCGUAACUUCGGGAGAAGGCACGCUGAUAUGUAGGUGAAGUCCCUCGCGGAUGGAGCUGAAAUCAGUCGAAGAUACCAGCUGGCUGCAACUGUUUAUUAAAAACACAGCACUGUGCAAACACGAAAGUGGACGUAUACGGUGUGACGCCUGCCCGGUGCCGGAAGGUUAAUUGAUGGGGUUAGCGGUAACGCGAAGCUCUUGAUCGAAGCCCCGGUAAACGGCGGCCGUAACUAUAACGGUCCUAAGGUAGCGAAAUUCCUUGUCGGGUAAGUUCCGACCUGCACGAAUGGCGUAAUGAUGGCCAGGCUGUCUCCACCCGAGACUCAGUGAAAUUGAACUCGCUGUGAAGAUGCAGUGUACCCGCGGCAAGACGGAAAGACCCCGUGAACCUUUACUAUAGCUUGACACUGAACAUUGAGCCUUGAUGUGUAGGAUAGGUGGGAGGCUUUGAAGUGUGGACGCCAGUCUGCAUGGAGCCGACCUUGAAAUACCACCCUUUAAUGUUUGAUGUUCUAACGUUGACCCGUGAUCCGGGUUGCGGACAGUGUCUGGUGGGUAGUUUGACUGGGGCGGUCUCCUCCUAAAGAGUAACGGAGGAGCACGAAGGUUGGCUAAUCCUGGUCGGACAUCAGGAGGUUAGUGCAAUGGCAUAAGCCAGCUUGACUGCGAGCGUGACGGCGCGAGCAGGUGCGAAAGCAGGUCAUAGUGAUCCGGUGGUUCUGAAUGGAAGGGCCAUCGCUCAACGGAUAAAAGGUACUCCGGGGAUAACAGGCUGAUACCGCCCAAGAGUUCAUAUCGACGGCGGUGUUUGGCACCUCGAUGUCGGCUCAUCACAUCCUGGGGCUGAAGUAGGUCCCAAGGGUAUGGCUGUUCGCCAUUUAAAGUGGUACGCGAGCUGGGUUUAGAACGUCGUGAGACAGUUCGGUCCCUAUCUGCCGUGGGCGCUGGAGAACUGAGGGGGGCUGCUCCUAGUACGAGAGGACCGGAGUGGACGCAUCACUGGUGUUCGGGUUGUCAUGCCAAUGGCACUGCCCGGUAGCUAAAUGCGGAAGAGAUAAGUGCUGAAAGCAUCUAAGCACGAAACUUGCCCCGAGAUGAGUUCUCCCUGACUCCUUGAGAGUCCUGAAGGAACGUUGAAGACGACGACGUUGAUAGGCCGGGUGUGUAAGCGCAGCGAUGCGUUGAGCUAACCGGUACUAAUGAACCGUGAGGCUUAACCUUACAACGCCGAAGGUGUUU
rnacentral:rRNA from 1 species